rnacentral:rRNA from 1 species
UACGUAGGGUCCGAGCGUUGUCCGGAGUGACUGGGCGUAAAGCGCGCGCAGGCGGCCCGCGAGGUGUCCUGUGAAAGCCCCGUGCUCAACGCGGGAGGGUCAGGGCAAACCGGCGGGCUUGAGGCCGGUAGAGGUGGGUGGAACUCCUGGUGGAGUGGUGAAAUGCGUAGAGAUCAGGAAGAACACCAGUGGCGAAGGCGGCUUACUGGUCCGGUUCUGACGCUGAGGCGCGAAAGCGUGGGGAGCAAACAGG